rnacentral:lncRNA from 1 species
GGCAAGGACUAUGUCCUAUUCCACCUUGAAUUCUCAUCACCAAGCGGAACGCCUGACACCUAAUCUAGUCAGUGCUUACUAAGUGCUCAUUAUCAAUGCAAGAAUAACAGAGCUAUGGAACCUGGCAGCCACCUCUUUUCUUUGGGCCUCAGUCUUCUCAUGCAGAACUUGGGAUUGGACUAAAUUGGAUCUCCUAGGCUGCCUCUGACUCUAACAAUUCUCUGAUUUAAAUUAUUCUUCAUCUGGAUGUAAUCCACCUUGCUUUUCCAUCCCAGGCUCUGUUCUCACUCAUGGCUGAUGGGCAAAGGCGACUAAGGAGGCACGGCUCCGUGAGGAUGUCCUUACAACUUUGCAACCCCCAAGGAAAAAGAGAUGUGGAUUUUAUGGAAUAGAUGCUAUGUGGUGGAAUCCUGAGUCACGGCCAAACAGCAAAUGCCAGCAAGAGUAGAGUAGGAGGCAUUUCUGUGUACACUUUGGGAAAAAGUCCAUUCCUCACUUGGUUUCAUUUCUGGCCUGAGCCGCUGUGUCCUCCACCUGAAGCCCUGACCUCUCCGUUACUGACUGGAUCCCAAUGUGCCACAGUUCACCUGCAUAAGGAGGGGGUCGAAGACAAGAAAACUGUGAGAGGCUAAGUAAUUUGCUGAGCUCAUAUGACAUCUAAAUGGCAGAGCUCAGAAACCUCAGGGAUUAGAGUGAAGUAGAAUAGAGGAAGUUAACCUUUCCAGUGCUACCUGCGGGCUGAGAAUGACGCACACAGCUUUUUUGAUACCCGGAAGUGAGACAAACUCAUAAGAUGGGGUGAGGAAAUGAGACAUCAAAAGAUUAAGUGACUUGCUAAAAUUUACACUGCCUACGAAAGCUGACCUGGAAUGUGAACCAGAAAUUGUCCUUAACCAAAUCACCUCACUGUCUCUCAAGAGAUGGGGUCUCACUACAUUGCCCAGGCUGGCUCUCAAA